CCCGGACUGGGAGGAAGCGGAAGUCUCGUUGUUUGACUGGGAUGUGUGGCUGGCGGCGGGAUAGCUGUGCUGUUUGUUAUUAGUGAGUUUGAAGAAGACAGAGCUCCAGAAUCCAGAGUGAGUCCAGCAGCCCCAGUGGAGAUCUGCUGGAUCUCAGGACCAGAGAGGAAUGGAGGAGGACAACCAGAACCAGGAGCAGCGGAGCACCGAGGUCCCCAGAAGACCAGCAGCAGACUGGGACUCUGAUAGCAGCCAUGUUCAGAAACGGAGAGGAGGAGAGGGACCCAAACGUCACCACUGUCAACACUGUGACAAAUCCUUCACAACAUCUGGAUAUUUAAAGAUUCAUCAGAGAGUUCACACUGGAGAGAAGCCGUACAGCUGUGAUCAAUG